GGGCCUGUAGCUUAGCCUGGUUAGAGCGCUGCUCUGAUAAGGCAGAGGUCGGCUGUUCAAAUCAGCCCAGGCCCA
rnacentral:tRNA from 1 species